rfam:Ovis aries breed Texel chromosome 8, whole genome shotgun sequence.
UGGCUUAGAUGGUAAAGCAUCUGCCUGCAAUGCAGGAGACCCAGGUUCGAUCCCUGG